rnacentral:rRNA from 1 species
AACAACAGGGAUUGCCUCAGUAACGGCGAGUGAAGCGGCAAUAGCUCAAAUUUGAAAUCUGGAGCCUUCGGCUUCCGAGUUGUAAUUUGAAGAGGAUGUUUCGGUUGCGGCCACGGCCCAAGUUCCUUGGAACAGGACGUCAUGGAGGGUGAGAAUCCCGUACCUGGCUGUUGGCUUGCUUCCAUGUGAAACUCCUUCGAAGAGUCGAGUUGUUUGGGAAUGCAGCUCAAAAUGGGUGGUAAAUUUCAUCUAAAGCUAAAUAUUGGCGGGAGACCGAUAGCGCACAAGUAGAGUGAUCGAAAGAUGAAAAGCACUUUGAAAAGAGAGUUAAACAGUACGUGAAAUUGUUGAAAGGGAAGCGCUUGCAAUCAGACUCGCUUUCGGUUGAUCAACGUUCCUUCUGGUUCGUGCACUCUGCCGUUUGCGGGCCAGCAUCAGCUGGGGCGGUGGGACAAAGACUUCAGGAAUGUGGCUCUCUUCGGGGAGUGUUAUAGCCUGUUGUGCAAUGCCACCAGUCCCGGCUGAGGUCCGCGGUUUAUCCUAGGAUGCUGGCUUAAUGGUUGUAAGCGACCCGUCUUGAAACACGGACCAAGGAGUCUAACAUCUAUGCGAGUCUUUGGGUGUCAAACCCAUGGGCGUAAUGAAAGUGAACGGAGGUGGGAGUCUUCGGAUGCACCAUCGACCGAUCCUGAUGUUCUCGGAUGGAUUUGAGUAGGAGCAUAGCUGUUGGGACCCGAAAGAUGGUGAACUAUGCCUGAAUAGGGUGAAGCCAGAGGAAACUCUGGUGGAGGCUCGCAGCGGUUCUGACGUGCAAAUCGAUCGUCAAAUUUGGGUAUAGGGGCGAAAGACUAAUCGAACCAUCUAGUAGCUG